CAUCGCCAUCUCUGCAAAUGUGCAGGAAAAAUACCUUUAAAGUCCAAACAAACAGCAACACCACGAGCAAGAUUGCACUUGCCUGGAUUUCGUUUGAAAACAAAACUUCUGUUCUUUAUAGGGACAAUGCUUUUGCUUUGUAUUUGGAAUUCCAUUUUUUUUAUGUUUUCCAAAGGUUUCUUGGAAGAAUGUUUUAACACUUUAAAUGCUGGAAGAGAGAAGAAAUUCUCUAAGUGCCCUGUAUCGAUUGCUGUUUGAUGUUGAAAGGUUACCUGGGCCCGCGGUGGUGGAUGGUUGCCAGAUACUGUAAUCGCUAAGUAAACAUGGGAUAAUCCGCGGAUUGUAGCGGCACUGAGCAGUGAUUAGCUGUACUUGUAAAAGCUCACGAGAUGCUAUGUUGAUCCACACCGUGAAAUGGAUCAAGCAGGCUCGUGCAAGCUCCUCUCAUACAGAAAGUCAACAAAAAAUAGUUAGAGUGCUUAGGGCUGACAUAAUCAAGAAUGUUAGUGAAAUGUACAAAUGUAUAAAAGGACAACAUAGAGAGCAUGCUAAUAUAGCCACGGGGUCAUAAUUGAGGACAACAACAUUGAACUGGUUGUAACUGAACUUCUUUUCACAAAGACCGACUAUCAUUUCUAAUGUUGCAAAUACACUUCAUCCAUAAAUGGGUGGAUGAAACGGUCCGCU